CAGCAGCCGCGGUAAUGCGAGGGGAGCUAGCGUUAUUCGGAAUUACUGGGCGUAAAGCGCACGUAGGCGGCUUUGUAAGUUAGAGGUGAAAGCCCAGAGCUCAACUCUGGAAUUGCCUUUAAGACUGCAUCGCUUGAAUCCAGGAGAGGUGAGUGGAAUUCCGAGUGUAGAGGUGAAAUUCGUAGAUAUUCGGAAGAACACCAGUGGCGAAGGCGGCUCACUGGACUGGUAUUGACGCUGAGGUGCGAAAGCGUGGGGAGCAAACAGGAUUAGAUACCCCUGUAGUCCCUGUCUCUUAUAC
rnacentral:rRNA from 1 species